rnacentral:rRNA from 1 species
UACGUAGGUGGCAAGCGUUGUCCGGAUUUACUGGGCGUAAAGAGCGCGCAGGCGGUCGGCCAAGUCGAGUGUGAAAGCCCCCGGCUCAACUGGGGAGGGUCAUUCGAUACUGGUCGACUCGAAGGCAGGAGAGGGAAGCGGAAUUCCCGGUGUAGUGGUGAAAUGCGUAGAUAUCGGAAGGAACACCAGUGGCGAAAGCGGCUUCCUGGUCCAGCACCGACGUUCAGGCACGAAAGCGUGGGGAGCAAACAGG